GGACUGUGCCUGGAGUAGGUUGCAAUCCUGUAGCAUCUUAGACAAAGCAGUGCAGACAGGGACCUGGGGAGAAAAGCAGGAGCUCCAGAUGGGUGCCGUGGCCACGGGGAAGUGGGCGAGGGAAAUGCAGUGAUAGUAGAGGCAAAGAAACACACUGUGUUUGGAGGAUGGGGUGCUUCAAAACUCUUUCUGCCCUGGCUGGCAAAAGGGCUAGGCCGCUCGUGUGUACAAGCACAUACUAAGAGAGAGUGCCCGGCCCAGACAGCUUGCAAUGGUUUACCUCCUACCCCUCUUCCUGGGCGUGUUGCUUGGCUGUCAGCUGGGGCAUCUCUGGAAGUGCUGUGACCCCCAGCUGUCUCCUCAACCAGCCUGCCUGUUAAUAGCAGUCUCUGCAUGGAGCAGCCUUCUGCCUGGUCACCAGCCCUGCCUAUGUGAGACCAGAAUGAGAGCAUCGCGACAUCUGCAACAAGAAGAAUUCUGGCAACUGUUCUCGGCUGGUUCCUCCCCAUUUUGCUGGUGGCUAUGAUGUUGCUUCCGCUUCUGUUAUCCCUGGAUAAUAAUAAGCAAUACCCCAGGAGCCCCAAGCUGGGAUCAUUGUGCUCCAUGCUGUACAAACGUAACAAAAAGAUGGUGCCUGCCUCCAAAGAUUUUACAAUUUAAGGAUAAGCGGCAAUAGGUGACACAACACAGAUCAGGUCCUGGAAGAGUUAAAUUGUGUUACUCAUGCCUCCUCGUCAUGGCGUUUCAGGUCAGAGGGGACUCUCCCUAGGAGACUUGUCUGACCUCCCUGUAUAUCAGAGGCCACCAACACCACCCUGCAGCCGCCCAUGAAAUCCAACAACUGGAAUUAGAGCAGGAAUCUAGACUAUUGUAGGCCAUAGAGAAAGAAAGAAAACAGGUUCCACUAAGCAGCUGAUAGGAUGUUGAUGGAAAGCCAGGGCUAAAAGGCCCACAUCAAAUCUGGAGUGGGGAUUUCAAGGAGGAACACAAAGGGGUUGGAUUGUUUUUGAAAAAUGACCCACUAGCUGUCCUGCAGCAGGUACUGGGCUUGCAUGCCAUAAGAUGGCAGGUCUCCCUGAGCUUCCCCUGACGGCAUGCUGUAGACUCGCCAACCACUGGGGUUUGCUUUGCACCUCAUCCGAAAAAGUAGAGGUUAUAAAACGCAGAGAGGCCUUGAAUCAGGAGCCAGAGGGGCAGAUCCCAGUGAGCGGCGCGUGUGCACCCGCAAAGCAAAAUGCAGAGACAGUCUGGUUUUCGGUUCCGCAGCGGCGCAUCCGGAUUAAGCCCCAUCUUUCA